GACGGAGGAUGCAAGUGUUAUCCGGAAUCACUGGGCGUAAAGCGUCUGUAGGUGGUUCGAAAAGUCCACUGUUAAAAAAUUUGAGGCUUAACUUCAAAGAUGCCGUGGAAACUUUCAAACUAGAGUAUGGUAGGGGUAGAGGGAAUUUCCAGUGGAGCGGUGAAAUGCGUAGAUAUUGGAAAGACCACCGAUGGCGAAGGCACUCUACUGGGCCAUUACUGACACUGAGAGACGAAAGCUAGGGGAGCAAAUGGG
rnacentral:rRNA from 1 species